rnacentral:rRNA from 1 species
UUUAGCUACAGGCUUAACACAUGCAAGUCGAGGGGCAUCAGGAAGAAAGCUUGCUUUCUUUGCUGGCGACCGGCGCACGGGUGAGUAACACGUAUCCAACCUGCCCUUUACUCGGGGAUAGCCUUUCGAAAGAAAGAUUAAUACCCGAUAGCAUAAUGAUUCCGCAUGGUUUCAUUAUUAAAGGAUUCCGGUAAAGGAUGGGGAUGCGUUCCAUUAGGUUGUUGGUGAGGUAACGGCCCACCAAGCCUUCGAUGGAUAGGGGUUCUGAGAGGAAGGUCCCCCACAUUGGAACUGAGACACGGUCCAAACUCCUACGGGAGGCAGCAGUGAGGAAUAUUGGUCAAUGGGCGCUAGCCUGAACCAGCCAAGUAGCGUGAAGGAUGAAGGCUCUAUGGGUCGUAAACUUCUUUUAUAUAAGAAUAAAGUGCAGUAUGUAUACUGUUUUGUAUGUAUUAUAUGAAUAAGGAUCGGCUAACUCCGUGCCAGCAGCCGCGGUAAUACGGAGGAUCCGAGCGUUAUCCGGAUUUAUUGGGUUUAAAGGGAGCGUAGGUGGACUGGUAAGUCAGUUGUGAAAGUUUGCGGCUCAACCGUAAAAUUGCAGUUGAUACUGUCAGUCUUGAGUACAGUAGAGGUGGGCGGAAUUCGUGGUGUAGCGGUGAAAUGCCUUAGAUAUCACGAAGAACUCCGAUUGCGAAGGCAGCUCACUGGACUGCAACUGACACUGAUGCUCGAAAGUGUGGGUAUCAAACAGGAUUAGAUACCCUGGUAGUCCACACAGUAAACGAUGAAUACUCGCUGUUUGCGAUAUACAGUAAGCGGCCAAGCGAAAGCAUUAAGUAUUCCACCUGGGGAGUACGCCGGCAACGGUGAAACUCAAAGGAAUUGACGGGGGCCCGCACAAGCGGAGGAACAUGUGGUUUAAUUCGAUGAUACGCGAGGAACCUUACCCGGGCUUAAAUUGCAGUGGAAUGAUGUGGAAACAUGUCAGUGAGCAAUCACCGCUGUGAAGGUGCUGCAUGGUUGUCGUCAGCUCGUGCCGUGAGGUGUCGGCUUAAGUGCCAUAACGAGCGCAACCCUUAUCUUUAGUUACUAACAGGUUAUGCUGAGGACUCUAGAGAGACUGCCGUCGUAAGAUGUGAGGAAGGUGGGGAUGACGUCAAAUCAGCACGGCCCUUACGUCCGGGGCUACACACGUGUUACAAUGGGGGGUACAGAAGGCAGCUAGCGGGUGACCGUAUGCUAAUCCCAAAAUCCUCUCUCAGUUCGGAUCGAAGUCUGCAACCCGACUUCGUGAAGCUGGAUUCGCUAGUAAUCGCGCAUCAGCCACGGCGCGGUGAAUACGUUCCCGGGCCUUGUACACACCGCCCGUCAAGCCAUGGGAGCCGGGGGUACCUGAAGUACGUAACCGCAAGGAUCGUCCUAGGGUAAAACUGGUGACUGG